rnacentral:misc_RNA from 1 species
GUCAAACGAGGCGUUACUCGCUUUGUAGGGGCCUAGAGAACGACUCGAGCGGUGUCCUCCGCCGAGGUUUGUCCGCUCAACUCCAAAACUGGCGACCUCCCGCGCUCCCUUUACUCCCAGCCCCAACCCAGCAACUCUCUGCCGCUCCAUAAUGGCCAGGUCGUCGCAGCUUGUCGGGCCGAAUCGCCUCCCUCCGCCUCACUCCCUCAUUCCGCCCAGACCUCGUUGCCGCCGCCAACAUUCUACGCCUGAGCUGCAUUUCGUCUUGCCGCACGUUCCACCGUCCGUACCUGCGAGUAGCGAUAACUCAGGAUCGACCAAGCCUUGAGGUUGGUAGGGAAUGAGGACGAAUGAGGAUCGGGUGGACGAGGCAAGGCGCGAAUAUUUGUCGUUUCGUGUACGGCGAGAACGGCGGGCAGCCUGAGGGUAGGCGAGGUUCGAGAGAUGAUGCAAGGUCGGCGAAGCUGGUUGGGGAAAGACAGCGAAGAAGGUGGGGGAGGAGAAGGGGGAGAUUGCUUGACCGGCGGUCUGGAGGUUGGCGAAAGUCCUGGCGGCAGUCGGGUGACGCGCCUCUGAUCUAGGAAGAGUGUGAGUAGGCGGUUCAAUCUAGCUCGCAGAACGAGAGAAAGGGAGAAGUCGGCAAGGACGUCGAGGAGGAAGAGGUAGCGAGUUGAGAAAGCGCAGAUCCGAUUUUACCGGGUGAAUGCAACGUCGAUGGCGACGUGAAGAGGUCAGGAUGAGGGCGAGAGGCGCUUGAAGUCGUCGCACCGUCUUGAAAGAUCCGCCUGUCGUCGAGCGAGGAGGGUGAGCAGCAGACCUGCUCGCUCGCAAGUGACCGUUUCGGGCGAGUUGGACCGAGGGUCGCUCCUCCAGCCAUGCUGGAGGUCGUAGAAGGGCGCGGGGACCGAAAGAAUGGAGGGAGGAGGCGAGGGAACAGAAACCCGAGCGGUCAGAAUAGCAAGAAGGCGCGGCUGGAUACGGCGCAAGGGUCCGCGAAGUCGGCGUGGACGGGUCUGAGCAAGGUGUAGUUUGCCUCAGACGAGCGAGCGCGGUCCCACAAGCGGUGGUAGGCGUGCCAUCCGUCGUCGAACCGAGUCCGACUCGCCUGGGCCGCCUCGUCUUCUCGCUCGCUCUCCUUCAUCCUUGUCCUACUUCCUCCGCACGAUCCGCUGCCCUAGUCCACACUCGCUGCGACCGGCGCACAACCAACCGACCCGCUUCACCACCCUCCUCCGCACGCCUGUUGAAAGCGCCAGAUGUUCGGAGCCGGCAGACCUGGCACGACGGGCGGACGGCAGGGAGCGGCGCAGGGUCGCGCAGAGUGAGUCGCCGUGUUCUGUUACUGUCUGAGUGCUCCUCACUCGUCUCGGCGAGCCCUCGGGUGGAUGGAUGAUAUCGCGGUGAGGACUGGCUGGGGCGUGGCGGGUGCGGGUGCGGGUGGGCGUGAGGCGGGCUGUGACUGGGUCUGGUACGGUUCCGAGCGAAUCAGAGGUUGUAGGAUGGUCGAAGUCAGCGCUU